GAUUAACGCUGGCGGCGUGCAUAACACAUGCAAGUCGAACGAUGAAACUUUACUGACUUCUUCGGAAUGAUUUAAAGCGGAUUAGUGGCGAACGGGUGAGUAACGCGUGAGUAACCUGCCUUACACAAGGGGAUAGCCUCUGGAAACGGAGAAUAAUACCCUAUGAAACCAGACAAUCGCAUGAUAAUCUGGUCAAAAUGUUUAGUGGUGUAAGAUGGACUUGCGUCUGAUUAGCUAGUUGGUGAGAUAAAAGCUCACCAAGGCAACGAUCAGUAGCCGGCUUGAGAGAGUGUACGGCCACAUUGGGACUGAGACACGGCCCAGACUCCUACGGGAGGCAGCAGUGGGGAAGUUUGCACAAUGGGGGAAACCCUGAUGCAGCGACGCCGCGUGAUUUAGAAGGCCUUCGGGUUGUAAAAAUCUUUUGUAUAGGAAGAAAAUGACAGUACUAUACGAAUAAGGUCCGGCUAAUUACGUG
rnacentral:rRNA from 1 species